GAUGAACGCUGGCGGCGUGCCUAAUACAUGCAAGUAGAACGCUGAAGGAAGGAGCUUGCUCUUUCCGGAUGAGUUGCGAACGGGUGAGUAACGCGUAGGUAACCUGCCUGGUAGCGGGGGAUAACCAUUGGAAACGAUAGCUAAUACCGCAUAACAGUAGAUGUUGCAUGAUAUCUACUUAAAAGGUGCAAUUGCACCACUACCAGAUGGACCUGCGUUGUAUUAGCUAGUUGGUGAGGUAACGGCUCACCAAGGCGACGAUACAUAGGCGGACUGAGAGGGUGGUCGGCCACACUGGGACUGGGACACGGCCCAGACUCCUUCGGGAGGGAGCAGUAGGGAAUCUUCGGCAAUGGGCGGAAGUCUGACCGAGCAACGCCGCGGGAGGGAAGAAGGUUUUCGGAUCGUAAAGCUCUGUUGUAAGGGAAGAACGAGUGUGGGAGUGGAAAGUUCACACUGUGACGGUAUCUUAUCAGAAAGGGACGGCUAACUACGUG
rnacentral:rRNA from 1 species